AUGACUAACAAUAUUUUAAUAAACGAACAAAAUGAUGUAAAAAACCAAACUUUAGAAAAAAAAUAUACAGAAAAUGAAAACAAUAUCCUACACAAUGAUGCUACAUAUGAUGUAACACAACAAAUUAAUAAUUGCAAAAAUAAUUACAAAAAAGCAUUUUAUACGUUAGUUGUUAGAGAUGGGAUAGUUGAUGAAACGUUAUCUGAUGACAUAACUAUUUUAAAAGCUUUGGACAAUGAAUUGAAAAAAAAAGAAAAUAAUGAAAAUAUUCAAAGUAAAACUUAUUCUAAUUUGGGACAUAAUGAUACAUUUAAUGAUGAUAACUCUAAUAGUGAUAAUAAAACGAGUACCAACAAUGUAGAUGAAGAAAAGAACAUAAAAAAAAGUAAAAUAUUUGUAGGUGGUUUUUUUAAUAUUGAAGACCCUGAAAUCGAAUAUUUAGUUAAUAAAGAAUUAUAUUUCAUACCAGAACAUUCAAAUUGGUAUAAAAAAAAUACUCAACCUUUUAUUAGAGGUCAGGUAGGUAAACAAUCACGAAAAUUUGAUAAUGAUUAUCCAGUAUAUGAUUACAGAAAAAGCGAUUUUGGUAUGGCUAAAUUUUCAGCGUUAAAUUUAGCCUCAAUUAAAGAUUGUGCAGUUGUUUAUUUAGAUAAAGAUAUCGAUUUAAGUGACAAAUAUAUUCAUAUUAUAUUUUUAUCAACGUCAAAAAACGAAGAAGAUAAUUUAAAAACAGAUACAACAAAAGAACCUAAUUAUACUGUUUAUGAAAAUGUAGCGACGCAAGAGCAUUUAAAGAGUACUAAAUUGUGUGUCCAUAGUGAUAUUGAAAAAAGUCUAGAAACGUGUAUUGACAAACAUGAUUCUAAACUUGAUUCUGAUGACAAAGAAAACAACAAUAACAACAGUAACACUUCAUCAACUUUACGUACCGUAAAAAAUAUAACAAAUUUAAAACCAAACGAACAAAAUACUAAUGAAGAAACACAAAAUACCAGCACCAAUUUAAACGAAAAGAAAAAGUCAAAUGACAAAAAAGAAACUAUAAAUACAUAUGAAAGAAAAGAAUUAACAAAUAACAUACACAAUCCAAUAACGAACCCACGAUUAGUUGUUUACAUAAAAGCUAAUAGUAAAAUAAAUAUAUACGAAUCACACAUAUCAUUAAAUAACAAUAAUGGUGGAUUAGUUAAUGCAUUUUCUAGAAUAAAAUUAGAGGAAAAAACAAAUGUUAAUCACAUAUUAUCACAAGAGUUAGGUAAAAAUGUAUGGUAUUUUCAUAAUGUUUCAGUACAAAAUGGAUUACAAGGAAAUUACAAAUUUGUUGAUGUACUUUUAGGUAGUUUGUCAUCAAGAGUAAAUUUACAAAUAGAAGGAGAAAAAGGAUGUAAACAAGAAAGUUAUGGAUUAUCUUUAUUAGAAAAUAAACAAAAUAUUAGUCAAUAUGAAAUGUUUCAUCAUGAACAUCCUUCUAUGGAAACAAACCAAUUGUUUAAAGCAUUAGUGUCAGACAAAGGACAUUCUAUUUGGAGAAGUAGAGGUAGAAUUGAACGCAAUGCAAUAAAUGCUAAAUUGAACACUUUAUGUAGGGCUGUUUUAUUAAACCAUGGUGCUAGUGCUAUUGCUAUUCCUACCCUUGAAAUUAUUCCUAGUGAUAUACAAAGUGCUAAUCAUGGAGCAACUAUUACUGAUUUAGAACAAGAACCAAUUUUUUCAUUGAUGACAAGAGGUAUAAAUGAAAAUAUUGCUAGAAAUAUUAUGAUGAAAGCAUUUGUUGAUGAAAUUUUAGUACAUAUACCUGAUGAAAAUCUUAAACAUAGAGUACAUCAAAAAGUUUUACAAUUUUCUUCAAAGUAUAAAAAAACAUCUUUUCAAAUUUUAAACAAAAAAAACGAAUGA
rnacentral:lncRNA from 1 species